GACGAACGCUGGCGGCGUGCUUAACACAUGCAAGUCGAACGGAAAGGCCCUGCUUGCAGGGUACUCGAGUGGCGAACGGGUGAGUAACACGUGGGUGAUCUGCCCUGCACUUCGGGAUAAGCCUGGGAAACUGGGUCUAAUACCGGAUAGGAGCCAUUUUUAGGGUGAUGGUUGGAAAGUUUUUUCGGUGUAGGUUGGGCUCGCGGCCUAUCGGCUUGUGGGUGGGGUAAUGGCCUACCAAGGCGGCGACGGGUAGCCGGCCUGAGAGGGUGGACGGCCACAUUGGGACUGAGAUACGGCCCAGACUCCUACGGGAGGCAGCAGUGGGGAAUAUUGCACAAUGGGCGCAAGCCUGAUGCAGCGACGCCGCGUGGGGGAUGACGGCCUUCGGGUUGUAAACUCCUUUCGCUAGGGACGAAGCUUUUUGUGACGGUACCUAGAUAAGAAGCACCGGCUAACUACGUG
rnacentral:rRNA from 1 species